rnacentral:lncRNA from 1 species
CAUGGCUCUCCUGUGGGGCCCGCGGCCGCCGCCUCCUCCUCCUCCUCCGCUUCCUCCCGGGGCGGCUCCGGGGGCGGCGGCGGUGCGGGGCCGGGCCGGGCCGUGGGGCCGCGGGGCCGCGCGGUGGGCGCGGGGCCGCUCUCGGCGGGGCCGCCGCUGCCGCUGCCGGGCUCGGGGGGCGGCGCGGAGCCGGGGGGGGGCAGCCCGUCGGCGGCGGCGGCCAGCAGGGCGGCGAGACAGAACAGGGCGAGCCCGGGCGCGGUCCGAGCCCGGCGCCUCAUGGUGCGGCGCGGCGCUCCGCCAUUCACUCCUCCAUCCCGUCGCUCCCUCGAUCGGCGGCUCGCUCACCGAGCGGCGCCGGGCGGCGGCGGCUCCCGCCCGC